rnacentral:rRNA from 1 species
CCAGACUCCUACGGGAGGCAGCAGUGGGGAAUAUUGCACAAUGGGGGGAACCCUGAUGCAGCGACGCCGCGUGGGCGAGGAAGUAUUUCGGUAUGUAAAGCCCUAUCGGCAGGGAAGAAGAAAUGACGGUACCUGAAUAAGAAGCACCGGCUAAAUACGUGCCAGCAGCCGCGGUAAUACGUAGGGGGCAAGCGUUAUCCGGAUUUACUGGGUGUAAAGGGGGCGCAGACGGCGAUGCAAGCCAGGAGUGAAAGCCCGGGGCCCAACCCCGGGACUGCUCUUGGAACUGCGUGGCUGGAGUGCAGGAGGGGCAGGCGGAAUUCCUGGUGUAGCGGUGAAAUGCGUAGAUAUCAGGAGGAACACCGGUGGCGAAGGCGGCCUGCUGGACUGCAACUGACGUUGAGGCCCGAAAGCGUGGGGAGCAAACAGGAUUAGAUACCCUGGUAC